CAGCAGCCGCGGUAAUACAGAGGGUGCAAGCGUUGUUCGGAAUUAUUGGGCGUAAAGCGCGUGUAGGCGGCUUUGCAAGUCGGGUGUGAAAGCCCUCAGCUUAACUGAGGAAGUGCGCCCGAAACUGCAUAGCUUGAGUACCGGAGAGGAUGGCGGAAUUCCCCAAGUAGAGGUGAAAUUCGUAGAUAUGGGGAGGAACCGGUGGCGAAGGCGGCCAUCUGGACGGAUACUGACGCUGAGACGCGAAAGCGUGGGUAGCAAACAGGAUUAGAUACCCUGGUAGUCCACGCCGUAAACGAUGAGAACUAGGUGUCGCGGGUGUUGACCCCUGCGGUGCCGUAGCUAACGCAUUAAGUUCUCCGCCUGGGAAGUACGGCCGCAAGGCUAAAACUCAAAGGAAUUGACGG
rnacentral:rRNA from 1 species